UCCCCUUUAGUUUUUCCUUCAAAAAAGCAGUAUUGGCAAGAACCGAGCUCAAGCUGCCAUGGAAUUCUUACAAGAACUAAAUAGCGAUGUCUCUGGAAGUUUUGUGGAAGAGAGUCCAGAAAACCUUCUAGACAAUGAUCCUUCAUUUUUCUGUAGGUUUACUGUUGUGGUUACAACUCAGCUUCUUGAAAGGUAAAUUUUAGAUGUUAAU